AAUACCGCGGCCCUUUAAAAAUUUUUCAGUGGGCAGAUUAGACUUUAAAUUAUUAUCAAAAAGACAUGUUUUUGUUAAACAGGCGAGUAUUUAUUUGCCGAAUUCCUUAAUUCAACCUUUCAAUUAAUUUAUUCUUAACAACUUAAUAUACUAAUUUUAUCAUUAUUUCAAUUUUUAUAUUAUUAAAAAAAUUAUUUUAAUAAAAAUUUAAAUUAAUAAAAAUUAUUUUUAAUUUAAAAUAAAUUAUAACAUUUUUAUAAUUAAUGACUAUUUCUAAGCCUAUAAUUUUUAAAUCAAAAAAUUAUUAUAAAAUUUAUUUUAAAGCUUAUCCCCUAAAACAUUAAUUAUUAAUAAUAAUCUAUUAUUAUAAAUAAAUAAUUAUAUAUUAAUAAUCUAAAUUCAAUUUAUUUCUUAAAAAACUAGAUAUUUUUAAAAACGAAUAACAUUUCAUUUCCAAUUAAUUAUUUUAAAUUUUUUUGAAACAAAAAAUUAAAUAAUUAAUUAACUCUUUUAAAUUCGAGAAAAUUAAAUCCUUAAUUUUUAAUUAAUAAACCCUGAUACACAAGGUACAACAUAUAAAAUUUACUUUUAAUUUAAUAUUUUUUCAAAUAUUUCAAUAUUCUUUUACAAUACUAAUUAACUAUUAUAAAAAUUAUUUGAUCUAUAUUAUAUACAAAAAAAAAUUAAUUUAAAAUUGAUUUUAUUAAUAAAUUAAAUUCAAAAAAAAAAUUAAUAAAUUAUCUCUAUCAAAUUAAAUUGAAUCACACAAUAUACUUUUCAAUGUAAAUGAAAUGCUUUACUUUUCAAGCUCUAAUUUGUCUUUCUAGAUACACCUUC
rnacentral:rRNA from 1 species